AUGAGUCUCCGACUGUCGCUCGGCCGCGGCCCCCGCUGCACUGGCAAUUGCCAAGCCCACCACCGGUUCAGCCGCACUUGGCCACCUCUGCUUAAGCCGCCAAGCGUCGAGUCGCGCGACCUCGAUUGUAACCUGCUGCGGUCGGCCAUUGCCACUGCCACUACGAUGAGCCGCCGUGGGUUCUCUGAGCCGGCCACAGACCCGCGCGACCACGUGUUCACAAUAUUACAGAAAACCCAUGGCGCUGUUCUGCCCCUAACCUCCUCCUACCCCGAUCCAAAACUCCCCACCGCCGUGAGGCUCCACACCAACCCAUCUCCAGCCCCUGGCUCCGGUGUGCCUCCCGCUGACGGCCCUCCCGGCCCCUGCGCACCACUCGCCGCCGUCGCCCCGUCCCCGACGCGCUUCCCGCUGCCGCCACUCGGCCACGACGCGCCUACCGCCGCAGCCGUCCCGGCCUCGGCGCGCUUCCCGGCGCUGCCUCCCCGGCCUGGCGCGCCUCUCUCCAUCCCUAGAUUGCCUCCGGCCGCCGCCCUCCAUCCCCACCACGCCCACAUGCCCGGACCUCUGCCGGCCACCGCAUCCACUGGCUCGGCUGCACGCGACCGAGACCCCCCUCUCGCAGCAAACCUUGCCGCUGCACGCCGCCGGCCAGAGCCACUACUCCCUCUGCUCCUCAAUUGUCCCAGUCUGAACAAAAAUCACAUGUUCUUUUCUUUGCCUAAUCAACGUCGUCGGGAGCUAGAGCUCGUACAGAUCCUAGACCUCGUCGGAAGGGCCAAGGUCGCUGGGGUUCAGCAUCGGCGGCGACUUCAACAUAGCACAAGAAGUUCAUGUAAAUCUACUGCAAAGGUUCAGUUCAGCUUGAGAGCUAGAGAGAGAUUAGUUGCUGUUGCUGCCCAUGUUUUUCUGAUUGAUGAGACGUGCUUUCCACAGAUGGUCUUCCUGUGUAUCAUUAACAUGAGCAGAGGAUCAUGCUCUCUUGCGUUCGUGACUUUGGAUGGCUUCUGGUCAACUACAGAUUGCUUGCCACCGCCACGCAUUCCUUCGGAAACAGCCACCUUGCAUCCCACCGUCGGCCACACACGAUGCUACCAACACACUGCCCCAGGCCGAGCCAUCCACCAGCAGACGAGCUGGCUCUGGCUGUGCUCGAGGUCGCCUCGCUCUUCCCUGCUGGAGGACAAGUUCUACUACAGCCAUGGAUUAACAAUUGUCUAUUGUUAUGCCAUCAAGGCGUUGCCCAAGAGCCACCCGAUUUCUCUCAAAAUUUUGGAGAUCAGUAAUUGUGAGGCGCUCAAGUUGUUGCCCAAGAAUGACCUUCCAAGUUCAAUGCUAGAGUUACAUGUCCUUCUAUGAGCAGCGAGGAGCUAAAAAAAAGAGAGUGCCGCAAGCUAAUAGGAACAAUCCCGAUUGACAUAACCUGACAAGUCCAAGGGUACUUACCAAUGAACUUGCUAUUAAUUAGAACUUGGCUAUUAUGUACUUAUCUCGCUACAUGAGACAUUCAUGUACAUAGACACGGGGAAUUCACAUAUAUCACAAAUUCAUGUACAGGAAAGUUGAUGCUUUGUGUUUACAUUUUAAAAAUUGUGUUCUCAGCCUUCACCAAAUCGUG
rnacentral:rRNA from 1 species